UACGAAGGGGCUAGCGUUGCUCGGAAUCACUGGGCGUAAAGCGCACGUAGGCGGAUUGUUAAGUCAGGGGUGAAAUCCUGGAGCUCAACUCCAGAACUGCCUUUGAUACUGGCGAUCUCGAGUCCGGGAGAGGUGAGUGGAACUGCGAGUGUAGAGGUGAAAUUCGUAGAUAUUCGCAAGAACACCAGUGGCGAAGGCGGCUCACUGGCCCGGUACUGACGCUGAGGUGCGAAAGCGUGGGAGCAAACAGG
rnacentral:rRNA from 1 species